CUAGGAUUCAGAUCUGGUCAGCUGUGCCAAUGAUGGACUCAAAAUGGCACAGCCUGGUGGUAAAUGUUUUAAAGGCAAGCCAAAUGAAUUAAAAUGGCACUGAUUUUGUUCUGAAAUGGCAAGCCAAGGACAAUAUAGGAUUAUAGGUUAAUUAUCAAAUUUAACUUUUGAUUUGAAUUAUCAGACACCCUUUUCCGAAUAAGAUGACACUUAGUACCACAAAUUCAAAACUCAGUUACACUGGUUACGACAGAGAAUGUUUGCAAGCAAAUAAACCGUGUUAUAAUUUUCUGAAAGGUAGAAGAGGUUAAAAACAGGAGGAAAAAAAAAAGGAAAAAAAAGAAAAGAAACUUAAUAUUACCUGUGUGGGUACAAGGAGUUGAUAACUAACAGGAACUUGUUGGCUGUUAUAAUGCAUACCUGGUGAAUUCAGCUGCAUUUGCAGCCUUCUUCUCUGCCUCAAAAAUCUUGGUUAGCUCAUUCUCCAUUACUCACUAUCUAUUAGCUGCAAAAAAAGAACCUGGAAACAUGAUCAAAUCAGUCUCUCAAACUAAGCAAAAGAGAAAAUCUCUGGUCAAAGGAAAACAAAUUCUUUAUUACCAAUUGUAGUGAAUCUUUUAUAAACAUCACAACCGUGGAUAACUUGAGCCUUCAAAUAUCAAGACAACAGAAAUCCCAGAAAGUAAACUGUCUUUUAGGAGUCAUUACUACAUUAUUGCAGAGAGAAAGAUAUGAUGGUACACGGAACUGGAGCUUCAGCUUUAAGAAAGAAUGAAGCCAAAUUAUUUUAUAACCUUUCACCCAAAAUAAAGAUCCGUUCUACGAACCACAGAUAUAUUUAGAGACUAAAAACGAAAUUAGGUAUGUGAGAAUAAAGCUUCAAAAUAAAACCUUCC
rnacentral:lncRNA from 1 species